rnacentral:lncRNA from 1 species
CUUGUCCUUGGGCGAGCAUGAAGGCCUCUCUGCCUUUGUCUGUGGUGUGGCGUGCCCAGUCAAAUUCCAUAAGGCUAAGAGGUGUACUGAAGCUGUGGCUGUGUGAGCUGUGGCUUCUGCUGAUGAGCUCAGGUUUGAACGCCAAACUUCCGCUUGAAGAGGAUGUAGACUUUAUCAAUGAAUAUGUGAAUCUCCAUAAUGAGCUCCGAGGCACUGUCUUCCCCCCAGGGGUUAACCUACGCUUCAUGGUGAGGCCAGAAAGCUGUUUCCCAGGCCACUUCUGCAAAGCAUGGGGCAACCCAGAGAGACUCUCAUUUGAGUUUAAAAAAAUACACAUUUUUAAAUAUAACCAUUGCCUCUCUGAUAUACGAUCAGUUCCAUUGUUUUUGCAUAGAACCAAUUGUGAAAAAAGUUAGGGUAUGCCCCAGGAGUGCAAAUUUUAAGGCACACCAAUUUAGAAAUUGUGUUUUAAUGCAACUGUUUUUCAACCAUCAAGAACCAAUACAGUCUUAUCAGUGAAAGUUGGAUGUGAAUUAGUAGAAAGUGAGACUCAGGAUAACUCGAAAAUAAGACUUGGGACGUAGCUUUAUCGAGGACUGCUAGAGCAUGGGGUAAAAAAUGUGUGUUUGAGCGUAAUACUCAUCUAGAUAAAGUCCAUGAGUCCCAUCCAGUAUUUACUGACAUUGGUGAAAACAUGUGGGUUGGUCCUGAAAAGGACUUUACUGCA